AAGCAACAAGACACAGUGGACUGGAAUGAAGCUACUUGAAAAGAGAAGCACCAGAGCAAAUCAAAGAAUUAACGAGAUCGGGCGAAAUUGGUCUUUCUUAGUCUUUGCUCUGUUCUCGUUACAUGACAACGAGCAAAGAGGGGCAGCUGUAGAAGCCCAAUUUCACCCGGGCCCAUUACAAACAAAUAAAAUACAUAAACCCAAACCUCAACCCACCUAAACACUAACCCAACACCCAUGACCCAAACAUCAGCCCAAAUAAAUUAAAACCCUAAUGGCCUAACAAGCCCAAAACCUAAACUAUUUUCAGCCAAAAAAAAAGAAAGAAACAAAAAAAACCUAGCCGCUCUCCCUAGCCUAGCGCCGCAACCACCCUUGGUCUUCUGCUCACCUGCUCUGCCAGCAACCACCGCCAACUGCCACUGUCAUCUCCACCCACGUGCGCCCAUGCCUGCAAUGACAGAGAGGAAACAUCAGCAAGCAAAAAAUAGACUAGAAAUCUCAUGUAAAUC
rnacentral:lncRNA from 1 species